CAAUUGUAAUUUUAAAAACCCUAACCCUAGCUCCGAUCAAACAGAAUGCAGAAACAGCCACCGCACACGGCGGAUUCCGGCAUGCCAAACCUCGCGAACAUCAAAAUCAAGUGUUCAUCACCACGUUUUCCACCACCGACAACUCCUUCCGCCACCGACACUCCGACCGCCGGUGCGCAGCGCAAAAUUGGAAUCGCCGUUGAUCUUAGUGACGAAUCUGCCUUCGCCGUCAAGUGGGCUGUCCACCACUACCUCCGUCCUGGUGACGCAGUUAUCCUUGUCCACGUCCGCCCUACCUCCGUACUCUACGGUGCUGAUUGG
rnacentral:misc_RNA from 1 species